GUGGUGGCGGCUGAUAAGAAAUUCAGAAUGCUCAGUCAGGAUGACAUAGAGGAUAGACUCAAUGCCAUCUCGGAGAGAAGCGACUCUUAAGUCUGAGCUGUCUCUGAGCUGUCGUUUUUGUGUGAGCGCAAUUGUUUUGGCGACAAGUUGGCAUACAACUCAACU
rnacentral:ribozyme from 1 species